CCUACGUGCGGCAGCAGUGAGGAAUAUUGGUCAAUGGGCGCGAGCCUGAACCAGCCAAGUCGCGUGAGGGAAGACGGUCCUAUGGAUUGUAAACCUCUUUUGUCGGGGAGCAAAAGACGCCACGUGUGGCGUUCCGAGAGUACCCGAAGAAAAAGCAUCGGCUAACUCCGUGCCAGCAGCCGCGGUAAUACGGAGGAUGCGAUCGUUAUCCGGAUUUCUUGGGUUUAAAGGGUGCGCAGGCGGAAGAUCAAGUCAGCGGUAAAAUUGAGAGGCUCAACCUCUUCGAGCCGUUGAAAAUGGUUUUCUUGAGUGAGCGAGAAGUAUGCGGAAGGCGUGGUGUAGCGGUGAAAUGCAUAGAGAUCACGCAGAACUCCGAUUGAGAAGGCAGCAUACCGGCGCUCAACUGACGCUCAUGCACGAAAGUGUGGGUAUCGAACAGGAUUAGAUACCCUAGUAGUC
rnacentral:rRNA from 1 species